GACGAACGCUGGCGGCGUGCUUAACACAUGCAAGUCGAACGGGCCUUGUCCCCUUUUUUUUUGGGGGUGGGGUUAGUGGCGAACGGGUGAGUAACACGUGAGUAACCUGCCCCUCACUUCUGGAUAACCGCUUGAAAGGGUGGCUAAUACGGGGUGUUCUGGCCUGCUCGCAUGGGUGGGUUUGGAAAGAUUCGACCGGUUUUGGUUGUUUUGGUGGGGGAUGGGCUCGCGGCCUAUCAGCUUGUUGGUGGGGUGAUGGCCUGCCAAGGCUUUGACGGGUAGCCGGCCUGAGAGGGUGGGCGGUCACACUGGGACUGAGACACGGCCCAGACUCCGACGGGAGGCAGCAGUGGGGAAUAUUGCACAAUGGGCGCAAGCCUGAUGCAGCGACGCCGCGUGAGGGAUGGAGGCCUUCGGGUUGUGAACCUCUUUCGCCAGUGAAGAAGGUCCUGCUCUUUGUGGUGGGGUUGACGGUAGCGGGGUUAAUGAAGCGCCGGCUAACUACGUG
rnacentral:rRNA from 1 species